rnacentral:rRNA from 1 species
CCCUUAGAUGUUCUGGGCUGCACGCGCGCUACACUGAUGCGCUCAACGAGUUUACGACCUUGCCCGGAAGGGUUGGGUAAUCUUUUUAAAACGCAUCGUGAUGGGGAUAGAUUAUUGCAAUUAUUAAUCUUUAACGAGGAAUUCCUAGUAAGCGCGAGUCAUCAGCUCGUGCUGAUUACGUCCCUGCCCUUUGUACACACCGCCCGUCGCUCCUACCGAUUGGAUGAUCCGGUGAGCUAUUCGGACUUUCGCAUUGUCGAUUUUCGGCUUUACGAGGGAAAGUCUCGCGAACCUUAUCAUCUAGAGGAAGGAGAAGUCGUAACA